AGCUCCAAUAGCGUAUAUUAAAGUUGCUGCAGUUAAAAAGCUCGUAGUUGCAUUUCCGAGGCAAGGGAUUAGUCCGACCUUUGGUGGGUAUUUAAUCCUCUUGCCUCGUCCUUGAGUGGUGCUUCUUGGUAUUAAGUUAUCGAGGAGAUAGCCGCUCAUCGUUUACUGUGAGAAAAUUAGAGUGUUCAAAGCAGGCUUAUGCCGUUGAAUAUAUUAGCAUGGAAUAAUAAGAGAGGACCUCGGUACUAUUUGGUUGGUUUGAGAACCAAGGUAAUGAUGAAUAGGGACAGUUGGGGGUAUUCGUAUUCAGUUGUCAGAGGUGAAAUUCUUAGAUUUACGGAAGACGAACUACUGCGAAAGCAUUUACCAAGGAUGUUUUCA
rnacentral:rRNA from 1 species